rnacentral:rRNA from 1 species
AUUGAACGCUGGCGGCAGGCCUAACACAUGCAAGUCGAGCGAGCGGCGGACGGGUGAGUAAUGUCUGGUACACCGCCUGCUGGAGGGGGAUAACGACUGGAAACGGUAUCUAAUACCGCAUACCAUCAGAUGUGCCCAGAUGGGAUUAGAUAGUAGGUGGGGUAACGGCUCACCUAGGCGACUAUCCCUAGCUGGGCUGAGAGGAUUCCCCGCCACACUGGAACUGAGACACGGUCCAGACUCCUACGGGAGGCAGCAGUGGGGAAUAUUGCACAAUGGGCGCAAGCCUGAUGCAGCCAUGCCGCGUGUGUGAAGAAGGCCUUCGGGUUGGAAAGCACUUUCAGCGGGGAGGCGUUACCCGCAGAAGAAGCACCGGCUAACUCCGUGCCAGCAGCCGCGGUAAUUC